rnacentral:rRNA from 1 species
UACCGCAUAACCAUAGUUACCGCAUGGUAGCUAUGUAAAAGGUGGCUAUGCUACCGCUUUUGGAUGGGCCCGCGGCGCAUUAGCUAGUUGGUGGGGUAAAGGCUUACCAAGGCAAUGAUGCGUAGCCGAACUGAGAGGUUGAUCGGCCACAUUGGGACUGAGACACGGCCCAAACUCCUACGGGAGGCAGCAGUAGGGAAUCUUCCACAAUGGGCGAAAGCCUGAUGGAGCAACGCCGCGUGGGUGAAGAAGGUCUUCGGAUCGUAAAACCCUGUUGUUAGAGAAGAAAGUGCGUGAGAGUAACUGUUCACGUUUCGACGGUAUCUAACCAGAAAGCCACGGCUAACUACGUGCCAGCAGCCGCGGUAAUACGUAGGUGGCAAGCGUUAUCCGGAUUUAUUGGGCGUAAAGGGAACGCAGGCGGUCUUUUAAGUCUGAUGUGAAAGCCUUCGGCUUAACCGGAGUAGUGCAUUGGAAACUGGGAGACUUGAGUGCAGAAGAGGAGAGUGGAACUCCAUGUGUAGCGGUGAAAUGCGUAGAUAUAUGGAAGAACACCAGUGGCGAAAGCGGCUCUCUGGUCUGUAACUGACGCUGAGGUUCGAAAGCGUGGGUAGCAAACAGGAUUAGAUACCCUGGUAGUCCACGCCGUAAACGAC